rnacentral:rRNA from 1 species
CCCUUAGAUGGCCUGGGCUGCACGCGGGCUGCAAUGGUAUAUUCAGCGUGAGUUGUUUACCGAAAGGUAGAUCAAAUCUUCAAAUUAUACCGUACUUGGGAUUGGACAUUGCAAUUGUUGUCCAUGAACGAGGAAUUCCUAGUAAGUGCAUGUCAUUAGCGUGCGCUGAUUACGUCCCUGCCCUUUGUACACACCGCCCGUCGCUCCUACCGAUUGGGUGCUGGGGUGAACAUUGUGGAGAUUUGAGCUUCGGCUUGGUCAAAGCAAUGUGAAUCUUGCCGCCUAGAGGAAGGAGAAGUCGUAACA